rnacentral:lncRNA from 1 species
GGGGGCAGAAGUAUCUUCUUCAGCUCUGUCUACCUCAUCUCCAUCUUCACCAUCCUCCUCAUCGACGUCCAGGAAGUUGAAGUCGAUAUCAGGGAAAAGACGUCGGACCAUAGCCUUAUGAUUAGCAAGGCCCUGCAUGUAUGACUCCAAAGUAAACUCCAGCUUUAUCUUGGUGAACUCUUCAGAAGAGUAAAAUGCUUCCACAACGGCAGCCUUUUCUUGCUCAAGCUUCUUCUCCCAUUGACUUGCCACCUACUGAAGCCCUUCGG